UACGUAGGGUGCAAGCGUUGUCCGGAAUUAUUGGGCGUAAAGAGCUCGUAGGCGGUUUGUCGCGUCGGCUGUGAAAAACCUGGGGCUCAACCCCGGGCCUGCAGUCGAUACGGGCAGACUAGAGUGCGGUAGGGGAGACUGGAAUUCCUGGUGUAGCGGUGAAAUGCGCAGAUAUCAGGAGGAACACCGGUGGCGAAGGCGGGUCUCUGGGCCGUAACUGACGCUGAGGAGCGAAAGCGUGGGGAGCGAACAGG
rnacentral:rRNA from 1 species